rnacentral:rRNA from 1 species
AUACGGAGGAUGCGAGCGUUAUCCGGAUUUAUUGGGUUUAAAGGGUGCGCAGGCGGCCAUUUAAGUCAGCGGUUAAAUCGUGGGGCUCAACCCCAUUCUGCCGUUGAUACUGGGUGGCUUGAUUGCGGUCGAGGUUGGCGGAAUUCGUUGUGUAGCGGUGAAAUGCAUAGAUAUGACGAAGAACACCGAUUGCGUAGGCAGCUGACCAGACCGCAAAUGACGCGCAUGCACGAAAGUGCGGGGAUCGAACAGGAUUAGAUACGCUGGUAGUCCGCACAGUAAACGAUGAAUACUUGUUUUCGGCGAUAUAAUGUCGGAGGCAAAGCGAAAGCGAUAAGUAUUCCACCUGGGGAGUACGCCGGCAACGGUGAAACUCAAAGGAAUUGACGGGG